GUGGGGAAUUUUGGACAAUGGGCGCAAGCCUGAUCCAGCAAUGCCGCGUGCAGGAUGAAGGCCUUCGGGUUGUAAACUGCUUUUGUACGGAACGAAAAGCCCUGGGUUAAUACCCUGGGGUCAUGACGGUACCGUAAGAAUAAGCACCGGCUAACUACGUGCCAGCAGCCGCGGUAAUACGUAGGGUGCGAGCGUUAAUCGGAAUUACUGGGCGUAAAGCGUGCGCAGGCGGUUUUGUAAGACAGAGGUGAAAUCCCCGGGCUCAACCUGGGAACUGCCUUUGUGACUGCAAGGCUAGAGUACGGCAGAGGGGGAUGGAAUUCCGCGUGUAGCAGUGAAAUGCGUAGAUAUGCGGAGGAACACCGAUGGCGAAGGCAAUCCCCUGGGCCUGUACUGACGCUCAUGCACGAAAGCGUGGGGAGCAAACAGGAUUAGAUACCCUAGUAGUCC
rnacentral:rRNA from 1 species